GACAGAGGAUGCAAGCGUUGUCCGGAUUUAUUGGGUUUAAAGGGUGCGUAGGCGGCCCUGUAAGUCAGUGGUGAAAUACUCCAGCUUAACUGGAGGGGUGCCAUUGAUACUGCAGGGCUUGAGUGGAGUAGAAGUAGGCGGAAUUGACGGUGUAGCGGUGAAAUGCUUAGAUAUCGUCAAGAACACCGAUAGUGAAGACAGCUUACUAUGCUUCAACUGACGCUGAGGCACGAAAGUGUGGGGAUCAAACAGG
rnacentral:rRNA from 1 species